rnacentral:lncRNA from 1 species
AAAUCCAAUUCUUCUCCGGACUUAGAUUCUUUAUUAGAUAAGUAAAAGAAAACUGGUAGUUCAAAGUAUGCAUUUUUAAAAAUUUUGCACAGCAGAAGAUAGUAGAUUAAAUAUUUUAAUCUCCUACACAUAUUUUAGAUCAGAUCUAAACUACUUUUUAAGGAUCUAUAAUAUAAAAUUUGCAUACAAAAAAUUUGAUACUAAGAAAAAACUGCAUCGAUCACAUCGAUGCCCUAGACAGAUCUAACCAUUAGAUUUAAUCGGAUGAGUUCAAAACUCAUUAUCUUUGUAUAGGUCGAUGAUUGCCACUGCUGAUAGAUAUAGUACAAUAUUCUUUCUGAUGUUGAAUAGUCGCACAGCUCGUCUGACCUCUACAGAUCAUCCACUCGAAGUCCUGAUC